CUAUGGAGUACUAGAAACCUGAGUUUUUUGUGUGGAUUAAGUCUCCUUGCCAUUUUGAUUUCUGAUGGAAUGGCACUGUUGUGUUGCCUAUGGCAUUGGGAGUUAGAGUGACGCCUCUGCUCUGUGUGUGGAGUUGGACUGCUCUCCCUAUGCCACAUGGGUUUUCCCUUGCAGUCCAUGGACAUGCGUUUUGGCCUCCCUUCAGGGCAAUGCCGCCGCCUUCUGCCUUAAACUUCUUAGGAUUAUUAUACAAGCUUAUCAGCUCAUUUGGAACUUUCUUACCUUUCUGCAUGUGUGCUCAGGCCAUCUCUGAAAUCUAACUUGAAAGGGUGUGCAUGCCGACUUGGUCAGCCCUGAAAGCCACUGCACCACUGGGAAUUCUCCAGAGCCCCUGAUGGCCACUCCACCCCUGCCUACGGUCUUUGCUUGCACCAUGCAGUAUGUUUUGUGUAAAAACCAGGAACUAUGGAUGCCAUGCCCAUGAAGUCACAUAACUUCAAAGGAAUCCUCUCAUAUCAUCGUAACAAAGGAUAAUUAUAG